rnacentral:rRNA from 1 species
CAGCCGCCGCGGGAAUACGAAGGGUGCAAGCGUUAAUCGGAAUUACUGGGCGUAAAGCGCGCGUAGGUGGUUUGGUAAGAUGGAUGUGAAAUCCCCGGGCUCAACCUGGGAACUGCAUCCAUAACUGCCUGACUAGAGUACGGUAGAGGGUGGUGGAAUUUCCUGUGUAGCGGUGAAAUGCGUAGAUAUAGGAAGGAACACCAGUGGCGAAGGCGACCACCUGGACUGAUACUGACACUGAGGUGCGAAAGCGUGGGGAGCAAACAGGAUUAGAGACCCGUGUAGUCCCUGUCUCUUAUAU